AGUAAAUGACAGGGAACUGCGACUUGGGCAAACAACGCCCAACAAACAGCAGGAUAUUUUGCUGUGAACUGUAUGACACCAGUGUGUUCUGAGGCUAAGGAAAGGAUGAGAAAGAGCCUUCAAAAUAGUUUAACUAUCCAGAGAGAAUGGUUUAUGAGGAAAGGUUAUAAACAUUUUACUAACUAAAGGCAUGAUAACUACGUAUGAGCACCAAGAGGGUAAGCACCACUGAAGAAAAGGAAUUAUUUCACAUGAAACCAUAGGAGCUUCCCAUGGAUCCUCUUCUGAGCAGUUCACCAUGACAACCAAGGCCCCAGAGGAUGGAGAGAACUUCCUGUCAACCAGAUUUGUCAUCAUUAUUCUCAGAUAGUUUUGUUAAACGCCCACAUAUGCAUGACACUCUGUUGGGUGCU